rnacentral:rRNA from 1 species
CAUAAUCUCUGAGGAGAAAAGCAGGGGAUCUUAGGACCUUGUGCUUUUGGAGCGGCCGAUGCCUGAUUAGCUAGUUGGUGGGGUAAAGGCCUACCAAGGCUUCGAUCAGUAGUUGGUCUGAGAGGACGACCAGCCACACUGGGACUGAGACACGGCCCAGACUCCUACGGGAGGCAGCAGUGGGGAAUUUUGGACAAUGGGGGCAACCCUGAUCCAGCCAUGCCGCGUGAGUGAAGAAGGCCUUCGGGUUGUAAAGCUCUUUCAGUCGGGAAGAAAAGGUUGCGGUUAAUAACCGUAACUCAU